CGGCGAUGUCUCCUAUCCGUUAUAAAAGGGGGUACUCGAUCAUGCUGUGGGAUGCAGGAAAUGCAGGCCUUAGACGCGCUUUGUCGUCGAUAGCAUGGUGUGAGGGCGGGUUAGAUGCCCA
rfam:Bacillus sp. SA2-6 scf7180000001083, whole genome shotgun sequence.